GAGGUGACUGCCUCACUUCAGAGCAGGUCUGUGCUUUAAAAAAUCAUAUGGCUAAGUUCAGAGAAAAUGCACAGUACAUUUUUCAUGCUGGAGUUAAAGAGUAUUUGGUAGCAGACAGCAGACUUUUUCUAUUGGUCUUAAAUAUUUAGAAUGGGAAAGUCUUUGUUGUUACUGAAUACAAUCCCUAGCCCUCUCAUUAUUUCUGUAUUCUAAGACUAGGGAUCUUUCUGCUACACUGCUAGUUUUUAGUUUUUGUUUUAACCAGGGAAACCCUUCCUAUACAAAAAACCUUAGAGGUGAGCCCAAUUUGAAACAUAGCUAAAAAGCAAAGCUACUCUACCUGUAUUGGAGAAGAGGAACGUAGUUGCAGAGUUCUUAUUUCCUGUCCUUNAAAAAAAAAAAAAAAAAAAAAAAAAAAAAAGCCAUUCUCAGAGUUCCCACUGUGGUGCAGUGGGUUAAAGAUCUGGCAUUGUCUCUGCAGCAGCAUGGGAUGAAUCCCUGGCCUGGCCCUGUAGGUUAAGGAUCCGGUGUUGCCACAGUUGUGGCGUAGGUCACAGUUACAGCUCAGAUUCCAUUCCUGUUUCAAUCCAUGUAUAGGAAACAAAAUCCACUCUAGCAACAGAAAUGAGGUAUCAUAAAGUAUUGAAUGCCUUAGAGAAUCACUGAGAGGGCUAGGGAAACAGGCUGGAGGGAGAGCUUCCAGGAACUUCUCAAACAGCCCCCCAGAACUGGGCUGCCAGGGGCACCCCGGCCCACCAACAUCAGAGGAACAGUUGCAUAGAUCAGUGUGAAUUUUUCCUUUUUUGGCUGCCCUGCUGACAUAUGGUAUUCCUGGGCCAGGGAUUAGAUCUGAGCUGCGGUUGUGAUCUGCCACAGCUGUGACAAUGCUCAAUCCUUUAACCCACUGUGCUGGGCUGGGGAUUGAACCUGCAUCCUGAUGCUGCAGAGAUGCUACUGAUCCUAUUGCGCCACAGUGCCAACUCCUGAAUUGUCACUUUUUUUUUUCUUUUUGCUUUUUAGGGCUGUACUUGCAGCAUAUGCAGGUUCCCAGGCUAGGAGUCCAAUCAGAGCUGCAACUGCCAGCCUACACCACAGCCACAGCAAUGCCAGAUCCGAGCCACAUCUGUGAUCUACACCACAGCUCACAGCAACACUGGAUCCCCGACACACUGAGUGAGGCCAGAGGUCAAACCUGCAUCCUCGUGGAUACUAGUUGGAUUCUUUUCCGCUGCGCCACAACAGGAAUCUCCUAGAAGAAUGUCACUUUCCAUCUCCUUUGAGAGAGCUUCAAACCUCUCUGCUGAGUUGAUCUCUGCCAAACCCCAUCUGAGAACUCAGUCCUGGAGCCCAGGGCAGGGACCCCUUCCUUCUUAGCUCUCUUCUCCAGAGCCUGUUUGCUCCUGCUGCUUUGCCUCAAUCUGCUGGAAUGCUCCCUAUGGAGGCAGUGAACCUGGCUCUCACAUGAUCAAGACUCUUGCUGUAAACUUUGGGUGUUGGUACUCUAAAGGCUGAGGCUCCUGUGAACUAUUGAUUCUGUAAAUUUGUAAAGCAUCUAUUUUGGAAUUUUUCCUCCUCUGCUGUAUCACUCCUGCCCUAUUUCCUCCCUCUACGAACAAGGGAACAAGAGCAGAAAGCCCGAGGGGAGAAAACCACUCACCUUAGUUACUAUACCAAGUAACAUCCUGCCCAUUCCAUUUAUGUGUCUGUCCUGUGCUAUGAUAACCUGUGAUCUCAGUGAAGAAGGAGGAAUGUUUCAUUUUCAUCUUUCCCAUGGUAGAGUGACACAAAAGAGGGACUUAAGGAGUUCCCACUGUGACACAAUGGGAUCAGUGGUGUCUCUGCAGUGCCAUGAUGCAGCUUCGAUCUCCAGCCCAGCACAGUGGGUUAAAGGAUCCAACAUUGCCACACAUGCCUCAUAGAUUGCAACUGCAGCUUGGAUCUGUCCCCUGGCCUGAGAACUCCAUCUGUCCAUAUGCCAUGGGGUGGCAAAAAAGGGGGGGGGGAAGAGGCACUUAAAUGUCUGUUGGAUGAGUGAAAGUAAGCCCAGUCUCCUUCCCCCAUUCAAGAUACAUAGAGAAAUGGAGAGAUAUACACUUUAUCUAUAUAGCAUUCUGUGACAUGAGUCACAGGACUUGUAAAUGUGAUCCUGUCCUGGGGGAUGUUCUUAUCUGUAGACCGUUGCCAUUUUACUUCCUCCCCAGCACCAGUGAAAAAGCCUCAUUUGCUUCCUUUCUGACUUCUCAAGUUCAUCCCACCUGAAACCUCACCACUGAGUACUCUUCCUCCUGUGCCUGGAUCCAGCCUACCAUCUUUCCUCCCCAUCACACUAUCUUUUGCCUUCUCAUUGCCACAGUCUUGGACCCAGAUUCUUAUUAUCUAGCAUCCAGGCUGGUUAUAAGCAAUUUCUUCCCACUUUUCCUGCCUCUAAUUUCCACGUCUCUCAUUUUCAUUCUGCACCCACCUUCUACAUUAAUCUUCCAGACUGAUCCAGUUAAGUUCCCUGAUAUUCUGCUAUUGGCUGACAAUGCUUGAAAUUGCUACUGAUGUAAUUUUCCCAGAUCUUUACUUUUCCUCUUCCACCUCAUCAAUUUAAAGGCCAUCCAGCCCUCAAAGUCCAGCCUAACAUUUUUAUCAUCUCUAUGCCUUGUUUGUUCUGUUCAUUUUUUGGCCACCCUGUGGCAGAUGGAGUUCCCAGGCCAGGGAUCAGAUCUGAGCCGCAGUUGCAACCUAUGCAGCACGUGAGGCAAUGCCAGAUCCUUAACCCACUGUGCCAGGUCGGGGAUUGAACCUGUAUCCCAGUGCUCCCAAGAUGCCACCAAUCCCAUUACACCACAGCAGGAACUCCUCACCUCUAAGCCAUCUUCCCUAACAUACCUUGCCUCCCAAGGUAAAGCAAUUUUCAUUCCAACUUUCCAUUACUGUGGCCCAAAUGUAACAAAACUAAUUAUGUGAUACAUUAUCUUAUAUACAUGUCUUAUCCUCUCAAAAUAAUUGCUCCCUCAGAGGAGACAAAUCUGUUAAAAUCUCCAAAGGCAUGCUACAGAAGAGACACUCAUUAAUGUCCCUUGAUAGACUGAGCAAGACCUCAUUCUCCCUCUGGACAUGGAGUUCUUUCCUCAGGAAGGAAUGUGAGGAAUAUUAGGGCAGGGACAGAGUGGAGUGCGCCUUGCUAGCUUGGGUAGUUCUUAUGAUUUAUCUUUCUUGAAACGUGAUGAUUGCACUUUCUAUAGUUCCCCUGUCAUACUGUGGUUUUCUAAAAAUGAGCUUAUUUACUGUAAAAAAUGAGGCAUAUUGUAAGGUCCUGAGGUCCAGAUACCAUAAACACUUGAACAGGCCAGAUCACCCCAGGUCAAUAUAUUCAAAUGCAUUCAACUAAAAUAUCCUUUUCUAAGCUGAAUCUAGUGUUUUGCCCCAAUUAUUCCAAAUAGCCUCAAGCGCCUCUUUUGCUUUGGUGUUGGCACAUCAAAAAUGUAUUUUCAAAAUCCUGUCAAGUUCUCUUGGACUAGAACAUAAUCAAAUAAUUUGUGGUUCCCAACCACAUUUGGAGAACAUUAGGAGCAGUAUUAGGAACUACUCCAAGCCAACAGGACCUAGCAAUCUAUGAAUUCUGUCACCUUCUCUGUGACUCACAGUACUAGUGGUUCAAUCCUACAGCUAACAGAGAAAGAGAAUAAUGUGACUGAAAGCCAAAACUGACACUAGGUUCUGCUACUAAGGCAAACUGUAUAAGUCAUACCAGUUGCAAAAAUACACAUUCUGCCCACUUCUACUUUUAAAGACUUGGGAAAAUGUUAGAGAUGGAGUCUGAAGAGGCAAAGAGGGAACACUAAAACUUCCAAACCUUUUCUGAGACCCUGCUGCAAUGCAGAACAAAUUAUUGAACCGUUAGAUAAUGAAAUUAGCCCAGAGCUCUGGCAGGAAUGAAGAGAGCUGAGUUGCUCUGCUUUCUUAAGUGAGAGGAAUUGAGAUGGGAGGGUUUGAGGGAACAAGGUGACCAAGCAACCUGGAUAAGAGGACUUUUAAGGAAAAGAAAGUUUAAUAUUUAAUUUUAUGAUGCAUCGAUGCUGAAUCCUUCCAUCUCCCUGGAAUGUUCAGUAAAGUCUGGUACAUAAACAGUGUCAUCUAUAAGUAGUUUUCAGGGAAGACAGAGGAGCUGUGUUCUACAUCCAGGACCAUGAAGAGCAGAAAGAAGUGAACAGUGGUGGGAGGAAAGAGCUGGACUUGACUGGAAACAGUUGUUCAGACCCACAAGUGGCAAUAAGAAUGUAAAAACCCUCCAAUUUGCUAAAAUGUUGGCAGAAGACCAGAAUUCCAAAAGGACAUGGAUAAAGGCCCUGAGAUAAUUUAUAUAAAUAUCAGGGGACAGACUGGGUGACCUUAGCUACAUUGAGUUACAUAUUCAUGUCCAUAUGGACACAAUUUGGCUAUAGAGUGCAAAUUUAAUCUUCAAUCUCUUCACUAAUUUACUUCAAAAACUAUGCAUGUUUUGUCACCAGGCUUUUAUUCUGAUCCUAACAUGUAUCCUCUUUUAUAGACAUAUCUGUGCAUUCUGGCUUCUUCAAGAUUGUUGCCAUCAUGUUCUGUGUGCAAAGAGGAUUUAUAGAUGGUACAAAUGUGGUGAAAGGUAUUCACAGCUAAUAAAAUCAAGAAAAAAUAUUGCCUCAUAAUAUUUAAGAUGUCUGCCAAGUUGAAUAGAGGUGAAAAGCAAAAUUCUGCCAAAAGGGCGUCACUGGAGGCAAGAACUGUAUUCUCUAACAGAAUACACAGAAUUGAUGGUACCUCACUUCCAGGGUUAAAUCAUAAAAGACAUUGACUUGGAGGUCUCACUGUGGCACAAUGGGAUCAGUGGCAUCUCUGAAGCGUGAAGAUGCAGGUUCGAUCCCAGUCUACUACAGUUGGUUAAGGCCUCACCACAGCUGUGGUGCAGGUUGCAAUUGCAGCUCAGAUCUGAUCCCCGGCAAGGGAACUCCAUGUACUGCAGGGCAGCCAAAACAAACAAACAAACAAAAAAACACAAGACACUGGCUUGCAAUCAUUUGCCCUGGGGAAGCCAGAUUGUGGAUGAAGAGGCAUGCUUGUUAAGAAACAUGGACUUGGAGAACAGACUUGUGAUUGCCUUGGGGAGGAGGAGGGAGUGGGAUGGAUUAGGAGCUUGGGGUUAAUGGAUGCAAGCUAUUGCCUUUGGAAUGGAGUAGCAAUGAGAUCCUGCUGUGUAGCACUGAGAACUAUGUCUAAUCACUUAUGACAGAGCAUGAUAAUGGAAGAAAAAAGAAUGUAUACAUGUAUGUGUAACUGGGUCAUUAUGCUGUAUAGUAGAAAAAAAUUGAAUUGGGAAAAUAACAAUAGUAAUAAAAAGAAACCAAAGCCUCAUGUGAAGAAGCCUGGAAGGGACUCUCUAGCAGCAGUCAGAUCUUCAGAGUCUGCAGCCCCAGACAACAAUUUAACUGCAAACUCUUGAAAGACCAUGAGCUGGAGAGCCAACCACCUGAGCCACUCCUGGAUUCCUGAUCCUCAGAAACUGUGUUGGAUAAUAAAGGUUGGUUGUUUUAAUUUGC
rnacentral:lncRNA from 1 species